GAGGCGGGGCUUGUGGAAACGGCCGCCGCAGGGUUGGCGGCCUUGGGAAGGAGCAAAGAUGGCGGAGUGACGGGGUUUGUGGCGUUCCGGCCUGUGGGCCGGGGUGGGCCGGACCUGAGGCAGUCGAGUGCCUCUGCUGGCUCGUGCGAGGUAUUUCUCUGUUGUUUCAUGGAGUGGGUCCUUCGUUUAUCCAGCCACUUUGCCUAAUCUUGAAGUGUGGAUAUCCCUUCUCUAUACUUUACCUCCAUGAUUUGGAUUGGAAAAGACUGCUUUUCUUUAUUCUUCCGCCUCUCAGUUCAACACAGAGAACUGCUAGGAUGCAGUCAUUAUGCCGACUUCUCCAGGAAGAAAGAAGCAACUGACAUGUGUCUUCUGCUGCAGUUUGCUUACUUGUAAAGAAAUUAUUUUGCAAGCUCAAGGCUGAUUUGAAAUAGGUGCUUAGAUGGUAGUAUUUGUGAAUUCUUUACCUUUUGUUCCCAACAAGAAGACUGUGUAAAUAGCAACUAUGGAUGACAUCAGGGUUUCUUUAAUGUCUUCCAGUUUCAGCCACUAUCAUGAUAAGCACAGUUGAGACUGCAGUAGCGAAUUCCAAGUAUGUACUGAAAUUUGAUAUGAAAGAAAUGCUAAAAAAUUGCAUUUUUUCCUCUAAAUCCUGGUUCAUCCUGUGACAUCGAUUAACUGGAUAAGAACAAAGGUCCAACUUUGCAAUAAAACAUUUGGUGUGAUAAAGAAGCAUAAGGAAGAAAAAAUAUCAAGGUUAAUUUCAUAUGUGAAUAAACCAUGAGUCUCUAUAAAUAUUUUUACAUACGUAAGUCCAAAUUUUUGGUAAGAAGAGGGAUUUUUCUCCUAGAGAAGGAACUGUUGUUCUUAGAAGACUUUGGACAUUUGGUAUUUUAAAACGUUUUUGUCGUUGUUGUUCUUCUAAGGAAGAACCUGCAUUAUGCAGAAAAAUGCUAACCCGUGAAUGCAUUUUGGGGUUUAGUGAAAGGUUAGUAAAAGGAAACAAAAGUUUUGAGUCUAGCGAUGGAACCGUAUUCACCUCUCAUUCUUUUUUGUGGAGUUUUAUAUAGCACUUGAGACUUGGUUUUCCAUGCUGCUAAGGCUGGAAGAAAAGUGGCAUAAGUGGUUUUUCUGUUCAGAAGAUGUGAUGGACCCUACAGUAUAUCUUUCCUUCAACACUGGACCUGGAGGAAUGGGGAAGAAAGGAGAAGUUUCAAUACAAUUCCCUUCUAAGAAAAAUAAGUGAAAAUGCCUUAUGCAGCUCCACCUCAUUUUAUGGUGUUUUACAUUCUGUAGCUCUCUUUUUUUGUGAAAGCAUAAAUAACUUUUUUCUUUUGACCUAAAAUCUAUACUUGGAUAUAUUUUUCUAGACUGUAGCUGUAAUAUUAAGCUGAAAAGGCUGGGACUCAGGUAACUUUCCCCAGUUGGAACUGAACUUUCUCAUCACAGAAUGGGCCUAAGAAGCAAUGUUCUCAAACUUGUGGUUGGGUCAGUGUAGAUUUAGAAGAAAUUUAGGUUGUGAAAAAAAACCUCAAACAAGAAAAAUAGUUCCAAUAAAAAAUAUGGAUCUUACUUUCUCUUGAAACUAAUACUAUAUGAUGAACAGACUAUAUAGUGUAAAGCUGUUCUUGCUUAAAAAUCAACAGAGGAUCAGUGUAUAAAUUGUUCAGGUGUUACAUAAGAAAAAUGAAAACUUUGAGUCUUUGAGUAGAGAAUUUAAAACUUCUUAGGUGAAUUUAAGAACAAAUCACCCUAGAUCAUCUCUGUAAUUGGGGAAUGUUUGCCCAAUGCCAUACAUGCUGUGAUCCUGAAAACUUAGGCCAGAUGUACCAAGAUUUGAGAAUAAUAGAAAUGGCCAAAAAUGAGAAAUGUUGAACACAUUCCACGAUUAGUUUAAUUGGUCAGCCAAUUUGAAUUGGCAUAAAAAGGGUUUUAGUAAAAUAAUUAUAUAAGUAAAAUAUUUCUUUCAAUGGAGGGCAGUUACUGAAUGGUAAAACAUAGCAGAAAACUGGGUAAAGGUAACUUAAGUAACUUCCUAGCCACUUCCUCAUGUUUUAGUAUUUUGGAAUUGUUAAAGAUAAAAUGGAACUUACAUACAUGGGUUCCAUUGGUACAUUGAGAUUAUUAUGGAGAAUUUGUACCUUCAAUUAUCUGUUACUCAUCUUCCCUGUGUCCUUUUGGCAACUUUUUGGGUAGGAUCAUUUGGCAGGAAAUAGAGACCUUGUACUAUCAGCACCAGUGAAACCAUCUCUGGCCCACUUGUUUGAAUCUAUUAUCACACUCAGCUUCUCCAGUUGCUUUAUAUUUUUUCAUUCACAGCUAAGAGAACCACCAUUUAAUGCUUGCUCCUGUUUUUGCAUCUUGUCAUCAGAUGGCAUUUAACAAAAUGUAUAUUCCAGUUGUACUUGCACAGCAUUUAUGUAAAUACAUCUUUGUUUUUUUCUUGGUCUAUUUUGGUCCACUUCUUAAUGGCAAAAGCUAUAAUUUUAGGCAGGACUGUGCCUCGAUCUAUAGCCGUGUUUACUUCCUUUUGCUCAUCUACGUUAGCUGGAAGUUUAUCUUUUAAAAAGUUAAAAAUGGGAUAUGUGCAAUAGAACUAUAUAUAUAUAUGUAUAUUUUAAUACUUGUGGACAAAUGUUACAAGUUGUUGAAGAACAACAAAAUCACCAAUGUCUUCCAUUUUGAGAUGUGUAUAGUUUUGUAAGCAUUAGUGCUUGGUAGCAUAUUUGUAGUGCCAUAUUAGGGGUUAGUGCAUGAGCCUAGUAAUUAUUUAAACUUCAGGAUGAAUUGUUAUAAUAACCAAUAGUGUAAAAAGAGUGGAAAAUCUAUACCUUUUCUCUUUUCAUAAGUUUCUGUAGCCAUGAUAUUCUCCCUGGGGAAAGGAGAUUAGCCCAGAAAGACUCAUUUAUGAAUAGAAAUGUGGGGUUACAAUAUGAAAUACUGUGUUUGAGGAUGUUCAAGCUUUUUGUCUUUUGAAACCUCAAAUCAAAAUAAGGCCCCAUUUCCUGAUUCCGCUUUGCUCUCAGUUUGAGGUUAGAUAGUUCUUAUGCUGUUUACACAUUGUAUGUCUUAUAGGUUUAUUAUUUGUCCUACUCCUUUUGCAUCAAGAAAGUAUAUUUUGCAUUUUUUAGUAAUAUGCUAUGUUAAUUGCUUAACUGAGUGCUUUUCUAAUCUGCACACCAUUUACAUUUCCUGUCUGCAGCAUGCUACGUGUUAAUGGAAGAACACUGGUCAGUAGUCUUAGGUUAAUUUGUGCAGGUUUUUCCUCUUUCUAAAUCUGAAUUGUGUAUCGAUAGGAUUCCAGGCCUUUUCAUGAGAAUUUGAAAAGUAGCCAAUGGAGCCUACCCAGGUUGCCAUGUAAUAAAUAACUUUUGCUUGGUUACAGUAAGCCACCUUAAACAGCUUUCACUUUUUUCUUUCCUUGUAGACAUAAAAGGUUUUUAUUCUGAAGGUAUAAGAUAGCUUUCUGUAGAAAAGAAAUUCCUCCUUCUAAAAGCUGCCUUGCAAACUUGGAAAUGGCAGCUUUCUGAGGUGAUUAUUUAAAAAUUGGUAUUAGGAGAGUUCAGGAUUUAUUGACACAGAUUGUGCAGUUAGCAUAAUAGGAAAUUCAAAACUAUUUUAAUGUGGUGAGUCUCAUGUGUAGAAGCAAGCUUAGAUAAGUAGAUUCUUUGGCAGCAGAUCUCCAGGGACCCAGGUUCAGAUUCUCAUAGUGUAUUUUCAAUAGUUGUACUCUUGGCUCAAGUAGUUUAGUGCCUGUGAGAAUCCAUUUCUGAAAAGCAUUUAAAUAUUUUUUUAAAUACCUCUGAAUAGGUAAUGAAUGCAAAAUAGCACAGUAUAUAGGAAAGGAUAUUUCCUAUUGCAAAAAAAAAAAAGCCAUAAAAUGAAUAAUUUUCAAGAGGUAGCAAUAAGUUUUGCAUGUAUAAUAGGCUGCAUUAACAAGGUUGUACAGUAGAAUAAGUAUUACUACUUGAGCUUGUGAGGCUCUGUGAUUAACAGUUGCACAAAAAAAAAUGUUCUAGAUAAAGAGCAUAUAAAAAGGUACUUUUAAAACUAUGAAUGUAUAUGACUAUAUCAGUGUAUGAGAAAUAGCAACCUUUGCGUAAGUUCAAGACCCUAUUUGUUUCCUAGAGCAGAGGGUUAGAGCCAUUGAAUGAAACUUUUCUAGUGCUUAACCUGGAAACAAAUGUACUCCUAAUGUAGCCCCACUGAAGCUGUCAUGUGGGGAUUUUGCUUAUGAUGUUCCUUUUAACAUCAGGCUAAUAGCAUACUUUUUGCUUUGUCACCUACCCUUUCUCCAUUCAUUUCUGGGUGCAUUUUUAAAAAGGAAAAGUUUGUUGUUUGUGUAUUUAGGGUUAAAAAAAACACCAAUAACUUGGAUUGCUGGCUUUUCCUUAUGCCUAUGGUUAGUUUAGGGGAGUUAGAAUUUAAAGGUAUAAAACAAAAGGAUUGAAGGGAAUAACCAAAGAUAAUAUGUUGGGUUUUUUUUUUUAACCUUGUCUAAAGUAGAUUUGCUAGUAUAGGCCUAUGAUCUGUGACUGCUUAUUUUAAGAAGAACCUAGCAAACUAGUUUCUUGAUCUGAGGAAUCGUACAGCUCACAUCAGGGUACAAUAGUGGAAUAAGGGUGACUUCUUAUUCCCUUUUACUUCAUGUCAACUUGUCCAUUUAGCAUCUUGAAAAUCCCAGAAAAGAUUCGGUCUGUGUUCCCUGUUUUCCAACGGUGGGGGUAGGGGGACUAAAAAUGAAGUAGAUCUAAGAAAAUAGUCUCUUGAAUAUUUAAUUCUUAUAUGGCAACUCCAAACGAGAGGGAGAAGGCUAUAUUAAAUUGAUUAUAGCUCCUCUUUAUAUAUCCUACACGUACGUCAGUGGUAUUAGAGACAUUGGAAUAACCAGGAAUAUUCAGGCAUUUGCAUGAUCAUGAGGACACCACUGCAUAUUACUGUGAUGUCAACAGUUUAAUUAGAACAAUUAAAGAUGACCCUUGAUGGCCAUGUUAAUAGUUCUAAAUGCUGAAAUGCACUACAAGUUUUGGUAGUCUCAAAGUAUGCAGUUACUUUUCAAUGUUGUGGUCUCAUGUUUACUUUUUGUAUACCCGUGAUAUGCAAAAUAUGAAGAGACCCUUGGCCUCCAGGAGUUUACAUUCUCAUGGUGCUGCUGGUGCAAGCAAAUUACUUGUUUAUUCAGAACAUUGCUUGGCUAUUAAUUAUACCAUAUUUGGAAGGAUCCCUUGGCCAACAGUUUUCAAAAGCAGAGGGCUAUGCUAAAUUUCAGGGCAUUUUUGAGUUUACAUUGUAUUAGCUCUGCUGUUCGUAAACUCCUUUUCCCCAGGGAGUUGUGCAGGUAAUGCUCAUUAAUGUGAACCAGAAAAACUGUUCUGCUCAAGAGCAUCUUCACCAUCCCUACACCACCUAUGCUUCUCUACGAUACAGCACUCAAUAAAUGGCCAAGAAAACUUACCGCUCAAGAAGACUGUGCAUCUCCUGAUUCUUUUCCCAGAGUUUUUACAUCAUUCUCUACCCAAAAGGACCAGGAUUUGCAGUUAAGCCUUUUACAACUGAACAGUGGUCCUAAUUUUAACCCUUUUUGUGUUUUGUACCUCUAUUCUGAAGUAGUGUGAUAGAUGUAGACUACCAGCCUGCAUUUCUAAGCAAUCACUUUAUUAACCCACAUUUUUGGUUGGAGUUGCAUGUAUCCUUGUUAUUUCUUGUAAUCUGAAUCAAGGAGUUUACUUUGCAUGUUUAUUAAAAUUGGGUCUGAUGAAAGUGCAAGCAAUAGUGGCAAGCCCAUGACUUUGAUUUUAGAGUACUAAUAUUCUAAUGCAUGACUGAAAAUGUCCAGUGUUACGUGGUUACUAGUAAUUAUAUAUGUGCAUUUACUAAUAAUGAAGCAAUAGAGAUUUAAAUAGCUUGACUUUAUUGUUUGGAUUAUUUUUCAUUUUCUAAUUAAAAGUUAUCUUACUUCCAUUGAAAAUGGGAGCUAGAAGAUAAACAGGGGGAACCACAACACAUUCAAACUGUCAGUAAUAGAGCAUAACAGUGCUUACCCUCUAACCUCUUGCCUGGUUCCAUUAGUCCCCAAGCAUGUUUUAAAACAAUACAAAAGGCACAAACUAAGCAUGUUGAAUAAAUAAGCUGCUAUGUCUAUAAUAAUCAGAAAGGUGUGCAGAGUUUCAGAAAGGGUAGGAAAGUAGGGAAUACCGGUGUGGAGUUUGUGAAAUAAUUAGGUAUGGAGUUUGUCUCAAAGUGUAUGUAGCUUAAGUUUGCAUCUCUUUAAACUAGUGUCUUGGAAAUGAAUAGAGGCAAUAUGCAUGUAUUUCAUACAUUCCAGGAUUUUCAGAUAACUAGGCAACUUUUGUAUAGUACUGGUAUUGACCAGCCAUAAAAGAUCUCCACAGCAAAGGAGACCAUUCCAUUUUGUGGAAAUAGUUCUGAAAAUAAUGACAUCUGUGGUUUGGUUUGUCUUUUGUCACUGUAUUAAGAAUUUUUUUGUUAUUUUUAAUAGUUUUAUUCUUGAUAUUUUGGUCAGAGUGCAUAGUUUGUUGCCUAAAGAUUUUGAUACUAGGUAAACAGGAGCAAGUUUUCACAUUUUGGAAAAAAAGGAAACCUUGCCAUUUACUUGUUUGAUGAAGAAAAUAUUGUAGCUUAAAAUUUUGAGAAGAUUUCUGACUUUGGAAUAACUCACAACUACAAGUGAUUAUGACAAAUAGUGUACAAAUGGAAUUCAUUAUAUCUGAAAGAGGCCUAAAUAUAAAUCAGGAUUAGACUAGAUGUUUUUUACUAGACUCCUUCCAGGUUGAAAAAUAAUUUUUCCAAAUUAUUUUAACCUCAUUUCCUUUGCUGUGGGAGUUCACUCUGGAUACCUUUGGGAAUAUUUAAGUGUAAUGGUAACUUUCCAGUAGUUAAGAACUGAAUUAGACUUGUAGCCAUUGCAGGGUUUGGUCUCCACUCAAAUACAGGAAGUGAGAUGUCAUCCCAUAGGUAAAUUUUCUCUUUGCCAUUCAUUGAAAACGUCUGCCAACCAACGAAUCCAAUAAAGAUUUCUCAUUUUUCUCCUGUGGCAUUUUAAAAGUUAUACCAAAUACUAUAGAUUUCUCCAGGAACCCAUACUCCUAAAUCACCUAAGUCAGAAUAGAUAUCUUAAGGUUACUAACAAUUUUCAAAAGAUUUUGUCUCCCAUGGUGAUGGUAUGCUAUGCCAUCGAUAAAAAUACAUUUUUCUCCGAGAGAUAAAAAAGGUAUUCUUGUAAUAUAUUGUCAUCAGUCCUUAAAAAUAAUUGUCUUGGCGCUUCCCUAAAAUCACUCAUCCUUUGUAAGUAAAAAAUAUUCAUAUUAGAGUACCCUUCACAUAGAUUUUUAUGUACUGUGCUGUUAAAUACAGUUGUUGCUCACUGAUUUUACUUGCUUUUUGCAUCUUCAUUGCACCUUUGGUAUAUGUGAUGUUAAAAAUUUUCAUUGAAUGUUUAAAGUCUUAGGAAAGGCAGUUUGCUUUUUAAUCUAUGCAUCUUUGGGAUUUUAGAAGAGUUUUUUUAUUCUUUGAUGUAAAAAGGAACUGCUUUAAGAGUUGGAAACUCUGCACGCAUGUGUGUGUGUAUAUAUAUAUUUUUUUGGCAAUAAAGCAGCAUGGGCUGAGAAUGCA